ensembl:lncRNA
CUGAAAAAACUGAAGUAUUUAAAACUUUGCUUCCUGGCUCCUGAUCUGCAGAAGGCAAUGGAGUGGACAAUGCCUUUGCGUCUAACUCCUGCCCAGUCCUCUGCCUUGCUGGAGAAGUUGAGCCAACCCCUGUGUUAUCUAGCGGAGCACAUGUGGAGGUUGUGUUGCUUGUUGUUAUCAAUGUGGAGGACCUGCUCUUACAAGCAAUGAAGGGGCUGCUGCCUCACAGGAUGCACACCGGGUGUCCGUGUUUGUGUAUUCAACAAUCUUGGUCAGCCACCUGGUGACUGAGUUCGGGAGAGAGGAGCCGUGGCUGAGCUUGGCACAAGCCCUGUUUCUGUGUAAUGAGUGGACUGAGAGGGCACUGAAACUGUGCAAAGUGGAAGGAUGCAGACAACCAUGACACUGUUGCAGCUUCUGGAGAGCUCUGGAAAGGCGAAUGGAUGUGUUUCCACCUGAUCUGCCAGUCACCGCGGUGACACAGAGCGAGCCAUGCUGGGUGGUGUGCCAGCCUGCCGCUGACUCAUGCGGGGGCCAUGGGCUUCAUGCAGGUGGAUUUGAGGAGGUAACAGGAGAGAAGAAAUGGCCUGCUGAGUUAUCCUUCUGGAAGCCAAGCUGUUUCGGGAGCUGUACCCUGGAGGUGACUCCAGACACGCUGCCUGCUUCCCAGGGAGGUUACGGGAUCCAGUGUGAGCUGCUGGCAUGGCGG